rnacentral:rRNA from 1 species
CAGCAGCCACGGGAAUACAGAGGGUGCGAGCGUUAAUCGGAUUUACUGGGCGUAAAGCGUGCGUAGGCGGCUUCUUAAGUCGGAUGUGAAAUCCCUGAGCUUAACUUAGGAAUUGCAUUCGAUACUGGGAAGCUAGAGUAUGGGAGAGGAUGGUAGAAUUCCAGGUGUAGCGGUGAAAUGCGUAGAGAUCUGGAGGAAUACCGAUGGCGAAGGCAGCCAUCUGGCCUAAUACUGACGCUGAGGUACGAAAGCAUGGGGAGCAAACAGGAUUAGAGACCCGCGUAGUCCCUGUCUCUUAUAC